rnacentral:rRNA from 1 species
CAAUAGCGUAUAUUAAAGUUGUUGCAGUUAAAAAGCUCGUAGUUGGAUUUCUGGCAGGAGCGACCGGUCCGCCGCAAGGUGUGCACUAGGUUGUCUCCAGUCAUCUUUGUGGGAACUGCUCUGGCAUUAGGUUGUCGGGGUUAGGGAACACAUCGUUUACUGUGAAAAAAUUAGAGUGUUUAAAGCAGGCUUAUGCCGUUGAAUACAUUAGCAUGGAAUAAUAAGAUAGGACUUGGUGUCUUAUUUGUUGUUGCACACCAAGGUAAUGAUUAAUAGGGAUAGUUGGGGGGUAUUCGUUAUUUAAUUUAGUCAGAGGUGGAAAUUACUUGUAGUUAUUGUAAAGACGAACUACUGCGAAAGCAUUUGCCAAGGAUGUUUUCAUUGAUCAAGAACGAAAGUUAGGGGAUCGAAGACGAUCAGAUACCGU